ensembl:misc_RNA Metazoa_SRP Metazoan signal recognition particle RNA
GCCGGGCAUAGUGGCGGGUGCCUGUAAUCUCAGCUACUUAGGAGGCUGAGGCAGGAGAAUCACUUGAACCCAGGAGGCAGAGGUUACAGUGAGCCGAGAUUACGCCACUGCACUCCAGCCUGGGUGACAGAGGGAGACUCUGUCUCAA